rnacentral:rRNA from 1 species
GCUAUGUGGGCACAGGCCUGGGGAGUACUUGGAUGGGAGACCACCAAGAAAUCCAGGAUCUUCAAGCU